UGACGAGUGGCGGACGGGUGAGUAAUGUCUGGGAAACUGCCCGAUGGAGGGGGAUAACUACUGGAAACGGUAGCUAAUACCGCAUAAUGUCGCAAGACCAAAGAGGGGGACCUUCGGGCCUCUUGCCAUCGGAUGUGCCCAGAUGGGAUUAGCUAGUAGGUGGGGUAACGGCUCACCUAGGCGACGAUCCCUAGCUGGUCUGAGAGGAUGACCAGCCACACUGGAACUGAGACACGGUCCAGACUCCUACGGGAGGCAGCAGUGGGGAAUAUUGCACAAUGGGCGCAAGCCUGAUGCAGCCAUGCCGCGUGUAUGAAGAAGGCCUUCGGGUUGUAAAGUACUUUCAGCGAGGAGGAAGGCAUUAAGGUUAAUAACCUUAGUGAUUGACGUUACUCGCAGAAGAAGCACCGGCUAACUCCGUGCCAGCAGCCGCGGUAAUACGGAGGGUGCAAGCGUUAAUCGGAAUUACUGGGCGUAAAGCGCACGCAGGCGGUCUGUCAAGUCGGAUGUGAAAUCCCCGGGCUCAACCUGGGAACUGCAUCCGAAACUGGCAGGCUAGAGUCUUGUAGAGGGGGGUAGAAUUCCAGGUGUAGCGGUGAAAUGCGUAGAGAUCUGGAGGAAUACCGGUGGCGAAGGCGGCCCCCUGGACAAAGACUGACGCUCAGGUGCGAA
rnacentral:rRNA from 1 species